AGAGUUUGAUCCUGGCUCAGGAUGAACGCUGGCGACGUGCUUAACACAUGCAAGUCGAACGAUGAUCCCAGCUUGCUGGGGGAUUAGUGGCGAACGGGUGAGUAACACGUGAGUAACCUGCCCUUAACUCUGGGAUAAGCCUGGGAAACUGGGUCUAAUACCGGAUAUGACUCCUCAUCGCAUGGUGGGGGGUGGAAAGCUUUAUUGUGGUUUUGGAUGGACUCGCGGCCUAUCAGCUUGUUGGUGAGGUAAUGGCUCACCAAGGCGACGACGGGUAGCCGGCCUGAGAGGGUGACCGGCCACACUGGGACUGAGACACGGCCCAGACUCCUACGGGAGGCAGCAGUGGGGAAUAUUGCACAAUGGGCGAAAGCCUGAUGCAGCGACGCCGCGUGAGGGAUGACGGCCUUCGGGUUGUAAACCUCUUUCAGUAGGGAAGAAGCGAAAGUGACGGUACCUGCAGAAGAAGCGCCGGCUAACUACGUGCCAGCAGCCGCGGUAAUACGUAGGGCGCAAGCGUUAUCCGGAAUUAUUGGGCGUAAGGAGCUCGUAGGCGGUUUGUCGCGUCUGCCGUGAAAGUCCGGGGCUCAACUCCGGAUCUGCGGUGGGUACGGGCAGACUAGAGUGAUGUAGGGGAGACUGGAAUUCCUGGUGUAGCGGUGAAAUGCGCAGAUAUCAGGAGGAACACCGAUGGCGAAGGCAGGUCUCUGGGCAUUAACUGACGCUGAGGAGCGAAAGCAUGGGGAGCGAACAGGAUUAGAUACCCUGGUAGUCCAUGCCGUAAACGUUGGGCACUAGGU
rnacentral:rRNA from 1 species